rnacentral:rRNA from 1 species
CCUUGACCAUACUAAGAACUUUCCAGAGAUGGAUUGGUGCCUUCGGGAACUUAGAUACAGGUGCUGCAUGGCUGUCGUCAGCUCGUGUCGUGAGAUGUUGGGUUAAGUCCCGCAACGAGCGCAACCCUUUUCCUUAUUUGCCAGCGGGUCAUGCCGGGAACUUUAAGGAUACUGCCAGUGACAAACUGGAGGAAGGCGGGGACGACGUCAAGUCAUCAUGGCCCUUACGGCCAGGGCUACACACGUGCUACAAUGGUCGGUACAAAGGGUUGCUACCUCGCGAGAGGAUGCUAAUCUCAAAAAGCCGAUCGUAGUCCGGAUCGCAGUCUGCAACUCGACUGCGUGAAGUCGGAAUCGCUAGUAAUCGCGGAUCAGAAUGCCGCGGUGAAUACGUUCCCGGGCCUUGUACACACCGCCCGUCACACCAUGGGAGUUUGUUGCACCAGAAGUAGGUAGUCUAACCGCAAGGAGGACGCUUACCACGGUGUGGCCGAUGACUGGGGUGAAGUCGUAACAAGGUAGGCGUAGAUGA